UACGUAGGGCGCAAGCGUUAUCCGGAAUUAUUGGGCGUAAAGAGCUCGUAGGCGGUUUGUCGCGUCUGCCGUGAAAGUCCGGGGCUCAACUCCGGAUCUGCGGUGGGUACGGGCAGACUAGAGUGAUGUAGGGGAGACUGGAAUUCCUGGUGUAGCGGUGAAAUGCGCAGAUAUCGAGAGGAACACCUGCGGCGAAGGCGGGUAGCUGGGCCGACACUGACGCUGAUGCGCGAAAGCGUGGGGAGCGAACGGG
rnacentral:rRNA from 1 species